UGAAAUGCGAUGAAGAAGAAGAGUACCCAAGGAAGGAUUGUGCAGAGAGUUGAUGGCCGGUGAAAAUCAACCAAUUCCCUUGGUGAAUGGACUUCUGAGCAGUACUGUGAACAGGUAACCUCAUUAGCAGAUAACCGGCGGAAUCCGUUACGAUUCAUGAGAGCACGAUGUUUGUUUAGUUAUGCAUUGUGAACUAGGGUGGUACCGCGAGAAAAGCUCGUCCCUUUG
rnacentral:ncRNA from 1 species